rnacentral:rRNA from 1 species
GUGCCAGCCGCCGCGGUAACCCCAGCGCCACAAGUGGGAACCAUGAUUAUUGGGUCUAAAGCAUCCGUAGCCUGUCUGUUAAAUGCCCUGUGAAAUCGUUCUGCCUAACAGGACGGCGUGCAGGGUAGACUGAUAGACUAGGGACCAGGCGAGGUAAGCGGUAUUCCGGGGGGAGCGGUAAAAUGUGAUAAUCCUCGGAGGACCACCGAUGGCGAAGGCAGCUUACCAGAACGGAUCCGACGGUGAGGGAUGAAAGCUAGGGGAGCGAUCCGGAUUAGAUACCCGAGUAGUCCUAGCUGUAAACUCUGCGUGCCAGAUGUUGCGUAAUCUCCGAGAUUGCGCAGUGUCGUAACGAAGGUGUUAAGCACGCCACCUGGGAAGUACGGUCGCAAGGCUGAAACUUAAAGGAAUUGGCGGGGAGACACCACAACGGGUGCGGCGUGCGGUUUAAUCGUAUUCAACACCGAGAAUCUCACCAGGGGCGACGGCACAAUGACGCUCAGUCUGAAGGGCUUAGCUGAGGAGCCGAGAGGUGGUGCAUGGCCGCCGUCAGCUCGUGCCGUGAGGUGUCCUGUUAAGUCAGGCAACGAGCGAGACCUGUAUCCAUCGUUGCUAACGCGUUCGCAAGAAUGAGCGAGCACACUAUGGAGACUGCCUUGGAGACAAGGAGGAAGGUGCAGGCUACGGCAGGUCUGU